CAAUAUAAGUGAUGGCGACCGGCGCACGGGUGAGUAACACGUAUCCAACCUGCCGAUAACUCGGGGAUAGCCUUUCGAAAGAAAGAUUAAUACCCGAUGGUAUAAUAAAACCGCAUGGUUUAAUUAUUAAAGAAUUUCGGUUAUCGAUGGGGAUGCGUUCCAUUAGGCAGUUGGUGAGGUAACGGCUCACCAAACCUUCGAUGGACAGGGGUUCUGAGAGGAAGGUCCCCCACAUUGGAACUGAGACACGGUCCAA
rnacentral:rRNA from 1 species